UACGAAGGGGGCUAGCGUUGCUCGGAAUCACUGGGCGUAAAGCGCACGUAGGCGGACUUUUAAGUCAGGGGUGAAAUCCUGGAGCUCAACUCCAGAACUGCCUUUGAUACUGGAAGUCUUGAGUUCGAGAGAGGUGAGUGGAACUGCGAGUGUAGAGGUGAAAUUCGUAGAUAUUCGCAAGAACACCAGUGGCGAAGGCGGCUCACUGGCCCGAUACUGACGCUGAGGCACGAAAGCGUGGGGAGCAAACAGGG
rnacentral:rRNA from 1 species